rnacentral:rRNA from 1 species
UGGGGAAUAUUGGACAAUGGGCGAAAGCCUGAUCCAGCCAUGCCGCGUGAGUGAUGAAGGCCCUAGGGUUGUAAAGCUCUUUUGUGCGGGAAGAUAAUGACGGUACCGCAAGAAUAAGCCCCGGCUAACUUCGUGCCAGCAGCCGCGGUAAUACGAAGGGGGCUAGCGUUGCUCGGAAUCACUGGGCGUAAAGGGUGCGUAGGCGGGUUUCUAAGUCAGAGGUGAAAGCCUGGAGCUCAACUCCAGAACUGCCUUUGAUACUGGAAGUCUUGAGUUCGGGAGAGGUGAGUGGAACUGCGAGUGUAGAGGUGAAAUUCGUAGGUAUUCGCAAGAACACCAGUGGCGAAGGCGGCUCACUGGCCCGAUACUGACGCUGAGGCACGAAAGCGUGGGGAGCAAACA